CGAACCGCCCCUGAGCCUGGUACAGCUGGGAUUGUAGUCCUGCAGCCUUGUGGCCGAAGGGCUGGGAGUUGGCUAUCAGAUUACAUCUCCCAGCAAGCUCAGCGAAGCGCGCGCAGCUCCGCCCCUUCCUCCAGUGAUGCGCACAGUCCCUGAUCCCUGUGCACGCUGGGAUUGUAGUCCUGCAGCCCUGUGAUCACUGGCUGGUAACAAAAAAUUUCAGCUCACGGAAUGGUAGGCGAAGGCCCCCAACCUCAGCCUCGCUCCUCCAUGCCUUCACAGCAGUUCUGCCAUGCGGAGGGGGAGCCUGCCUGUUCUUUAACCUCACCUACCUGAUGGGAGAGGGCAAGCUACCAGGGCAGCUUGUCUCACCAAGUAAUUGUGAUCCCGUAUCCCCCAACGUGCUGGCUUCUUGACUUCCAAAGUUGCGGCAAGGUAAGAAGAACUACAGAGGAAGAACCUACUGCAGACAUUUCCCAGGAGACUUUAACUGAAGCAUCAGCAAAACUGAAAGGUCACAGGGCCACAGAGGCUGGGCCUCUAAGAGCAGACGCCACAGAGCAAGACCACACCUGAAGCUCUGACGGCCGAGAGACAAUGGGCACGCCAAGGCCGGAAGCCGGAAGCAGUCUUGUUCGCUCCAGCUGCCUACCUGACUGGACGAUUUGCAGCCCAGCGUCCCUGAUUGGAUAAUGCUUAAGGCCCCGCCCCUCAGGUCCUAAGUGACAGAAGACGUGAUCAGAUGCUGGACUGAGUGAAGAGUAACAGUGUAAGCCUGCAGCCUUUUCUUUUUUUCCUUUCAUUUAUUUAUUUUUUUGAGACGGAGUUUCAACUCUUGUUUCCCAGGCUGGAUUGC